rnacentral:miRNA from 1 species
CAGGGCCCUUUAUGUCUCUCU